rnacentral:rRNA from 1 species
ACGGCUCAGUAACACGUGGACAAUCUACCCUAUGGAAGGGGAUAACCCCGGGAAACUGGGGAUAAUACCCUAUAGACUAUGGAUGCUGGAAUGCACUGUAGUUGAAAGGUCCGCCGCCAUAGGAUGGGUCUGCGGCCGAUUAGGUUGUUGUUGGGGUAACGGCCCAACAAGCCUGUAAUCGGUACGGGUUGUGGGAGCAAGAGCCCGGAGAUGGAUUCUGAGACACGAAUCCAGGCCCUACGGGGCGCAGCAGGCGCGAAAACUUUGCAAUGCGGGAAACCGUGACAGGGGAACUCCGAGUGCCCGUUAAAUCGGGCUGUCCAUCAGUUUAAAUAACUGGUGAAGAAAGGGCCGGGCAAGACCGGUGCCAGCCGCCGCGGUAAUACCGGCGGCUCGAGUGGUGGCCACUAUUACUGGGCUUAAAGCGUUCGUAGCUGGUUUGUUAAGUCUCUGGGGAAAUCUUCCGGCUUAACCGGAAGGCGUCUCAGGGAUACUGGCAGACUAGGGACCGGGAGAGGUGAGGGGUACUCCAGGGGUAGGAGUGAAAUCCUGUAAUCCUUGGGGGACCACCUGUGGCGAAGGCGCCUCACCAGAACGGCUCCGACAGUGAGGGACGAAAGCUGGGGGAGCAAACCGGAUUAGAUACCCGGGUAGUCCCAGCUGUAAACGAUGCGCGUUAGGUGUAUCGGUGACCACGAGUCACCGAGGUGCCGAAGAGAAAUCGUGAAACGUGCCGCCUGGGAAGUACGGUCGCAAGGCUGAAACUUAAAGGAAUUGGCGGGGGAGCAC